GUGCCAGCCGCCGCGGUAAGACAGAGGGGGCAAGCGUUGUCCGGAUUGACUGGGCGUACAGCGCGCGCAGGCGGCACAGUAUGUGCCCGGUGACAGCCCACGGCUCAACCGUGGGUCGCCCGAGUACACAGCCGUGCUGGAGGCAGGGAGAGGGUCGUGGAAUGCCCGGUGGAGCGGUGAAAUGCGUAGAGAUCGGGCGGAACACCAGCGGCGAAGGCGGCGACCUGGCCCUGACCUGACGCUGAGGCGCGAGAGCGUGGGGAGCGAACGGGAUUAGAAACCCGGGUAGUCC
rnacentral:rRNA from 1 species